GACGAACGCUGGCGGCGUGCCUAAUACAUGCAAGUUGAGCGAUGAAGCUUGGUGCUUGCACCAAUUUGAAGAGCAGCGAACGGGUGAGUAACGCGUGGGGAAUCUGCCUUUGAGCGGGGGACAACAUUUGGAAACGAAUGCUAAUACCGCAUAAUAACUUUAAACAUAAGUUUUAAGUUUGAAAGAUGCAAUUGCAUCACUCAAAGAUGAUCCCGCGUUGUAUUAGCUAGUUGGUGAGGUAAAGGCUCACCAAGGCGAUGAUACAUAGCCGACCUGAGAGGGUGAGCGGCCAGAUUGGGACUGAGACACGGCCCAAACUCCUACGGGAGGCAGCAGUAGGGAAUCGUCGGCAAGGGACGAAAGUCUGACCGAGCAACGCCGCGGGAGGGAAGAAGGUCGUCGGAUCGUAAAACACUGUUGGUAGAGAAGAACGUGGGUGAGAGUGGAAAGCACAUCAAGUGACGGUAACUACCCAGAAAGGGACGGCUAACUACGUG
rnacentral:rRNA from 1 species